UGCCCAGUAACUCCUAUCCCUACCUCCUCGUGGUACCGGCCGGAAACUAUGAGCAACCUUAGGGAAGAUCGGGCGGCUGAUCUACGUCCGAGUGCCAGGGAAGG
rnacentral:ribozyme from 1 species